rnacentral:rRNA from 1 species
CCUACGGGUGACAGCAGUCGAGAAUCAUUCACAAUGGGGGAAACCCUGAUGGUGCGACGCCGCGUGGGGGAAUGAAGGUCUUCGGAUUGUACACCCCUGUCAUGUGGGAGCAAAUUAAAAAGAUAGUACCACAAGAGGAAGAGACGGCUAACUCUGUGCCAGCAGCCGCGGUAAUACAGAGGUCUCAAGCGUUGUUCGGAAUCACUGGGCGUAAAGCGUGCGUAGGCGGUUUCGUAAGUCGUGUGUGAAAUGCGCGGGCUCAACCCGCGGACGGCACAUGAUACUGCGAGACUAGAGUAAUGGAGGGGGAACCGGAAUUCUCGGUGUAGCAGUGAAAUGCGUAGAGAUCGAGAGGAACACUCGUGGCGAAGGCGGGUUCCUGGACAUUAACUGACGCUGAGGCACGAAGGCCAGGGGAGCGAAAGGGAUUAGAUACCCCAGUAGUC